AGAUUUGCAUGAGUAGCUUCUAAUAUACCUUUUCUAUUCAUAAUUGGACCUCAAAUCAGGUAGGACUACCCGCUGAACUUAAGCAUAUCAAUAAGCGGAGGAAAAGAAACUAACAAGGAUUCCCCUAGUAACGGCGAGUGAAGCGGGAAGAGCUCAAAUUUGUAAUCUGGCACUUUCAGUGUCCGAGUUGUAAUCUCGAGAAAUGUUUUCCGCGCUAGACCACAUAUAAGUCUGUUGGAAUACAGCGUCAUAGUGGUGAGAACCCAGUAUAUGAUGUGGAUGCCUAGUGCUUUGUGAUACAUUUUCAAAGAGUCGAGUUGUUUGGGAAUGCAGCUCAAAAUGGGUGGUAAAUUCCAUCUAAAGCUAAAUAUUGGCGAGAGACCGAUAGCGAACAAGUACCGUGAGGGAAAGAUGAAAAGCACUUUGGAAAGAGAGUUAACAGUACGUGAAAUUGUUGAAAGGGAAACGCUUGAAGUCAGACUUGCUUUUGAGUUUACUUGAUGSCAGGCUAGCAUCAGUUUCUGGGAGUAGAAAAGGGUAUUGAGAAGGUAGCAACUUAGGUUGUGUUAUAGCUCUUUACUGGAUGUGCUCUUGGGGACUGAGGAACGCAACACGCUUUGUGCAAUGUCUUCGGGCAUUUCGUGUUAAGGAUGCUAGUUAAUGGCUUUAAACGACCCGUCUUGAAACA
rnacentral:rRNA from 1 species